GAUGAACGCUGGCGGCGUGCCUAAUACAUGCAAGUCGAGCGAACAGACGAGGAGCUUGCUCCUUUGACGUUAGCGGCGGACGGGUGAGUAACACGUAGGUAACCUACCUAUAAGACUGGGAUAACUUCGGGAAACCGGAGCUAAUACCGGAUAAUAUUUCGAACCGCAUGGUUCGAUAGUGAAAGAUGGCUUUGCUAUCACUUAUAGAUGGACCUGCGCCGUAUUAGCUAGUUGGUAAGGUAACGGCUUACCAAGGCAACGAUACGUAGCCGACCUGAGAGGGUGACCGGCCACACUGGAACUGAGACACGGUCCAGACUCCUACGGGAGGCAGCAGUAGGGAAUCUUCCGCAAUGGGCGAAAGCCUGACGGAGCAACGCCGCGUGAGUGAUGAAGGUCUUCGGAUCGUAAAACUCUGUUAUUAGGGAAGAACAAACGUGUAAGUAACUGUGCACGUCUUGACGGUACCUAAUCAGAAAGCCACGGCUAACUACGUG
rnacentral:rRNA from 1 species